ensembl:lncRNA
AAAAAGAAAAAUCACAAUGUGUGCCUGCUUUUUUAUAUCAUCAUACCCUGAAAGACUUGUUUCAAAUGAUUUUUAUAAUCAUAGCGAUGAAUAUUGCAGAAUUAAAUUUGCUCUCUGCUUCACAGCUCCAAAAGCAAAGGCAGCGGCUGUCAACAUACCCAAAACGAGAAGAUCUCGAGCCUCAGAGGACAUGGAAGUGUCAGCUGCUCCAGCUCCGAUACAGGAUCUUCCUAUGUGCCGACCAACACCUGUGUACUGCCCAGCGCCACCUGGCUGGUAUGUGCAUCAUAUAGUAACAAGUAGCCCAUUACCACCAUCGGCUAUUCCAGAAUCAGAAGUUCCGAUUUUAACAACUCAUCAAGCUCCUACUUUACUGAAAGAACCAGAAGCUGUUAAGGCAAAGCCAAAACAAGCCACUAAAAAGAAAGAACCAGCUGCGGCAAAAGAAAAAGCCAAAGCAGGUCCUGCGAAGAAGGAGCCCACAGUUACUAAAGCCAAAGUAAAACCUGCAGUGGCAAAGAAAGGGCCAAUCGCUGUGAAAGAGAGGUCUAAAAGGACAGAGCGAGUGAUCACUAAAGAAAAGGCAAAACCUACCUCUACUAAGAAAGAUCCAGCAGUAACAAAGGCGGCAAGAGUAACAACAACCUCACAUAAAGAAGAGAAAGCUAUAAAGGAAGUGAAGCCCAAAGCAGAGGGAAAACCUGUUCCAGAUGAGAAGAAAACGGCAGAAGAAACAAAAGAGAAAGCAGCCGAGGCACCAGCACCAGCAAAAGAUCUGAAACCAGAGGAAAAUGUCACAGAAGGCAAAAAGCCAGGCAAGAUACCGUACUUCCAGUGUGUUUUAAUGAGUUCAAAAUCCAGCCAGUAUCCACUCCGGCCCAUGUCCCCUGCUAUGAGUCCAGCUAUUAACCCAACCAUGAUGAGAGCCAUGAUGGAGCAGAGGGCCGCAUUACUGCAGCAGAAAGCCCGUGCAGCUGGACAGUAAGUGGACGACAGACCCCGUCCGGCCCUGGCAGGUGCAAACUGCUUAUGAACUGCUAUAAAAACAUAGUGCUGCUGGGCUCUCAAGAGCCAUCUUCCUAAACCAUCAGAAACUUUAACAAAUAAUGAGCGGAGGUCCCUGAUUUCUCAGUGGAUGCUCUCCAUUCUUUCAUAAGUGAUUUUUGAAUCCAACCACUUUCUCAAUUUUGACAAAAAAAAAAAAAGAGAUAUAAAUAAAUUAUAAUAUACAUUCUGAAAUAAAUUUAAU